ACAUGGAUAAAGAAGAACGUUAAUUCACUGGAUCCCAUUAGAAAUAUAUAGUUAAGCAUGCUUGGGCUAGAGUACUACUACGAUGGGUGACCGCUCGGGAAGUCCUAGUGUUUUACAUGCC
rnacentral:rRNA from 1 species